UAAAAACAUUGAAAAUAAAAUGUCAACAAAAAUUGAAAUAAAUAACAAUUUUCAUUGAAUUUAUCAAUAAAAGUAAUUUUUUGAUUAAUUAUGUUAGUUACACUUUUUUUGUUAUGUUUUCAAUGGGUUUUUCUUUUAAUUAAUGAAUAAGAAAAGUGUGAAAAUAGAGAAAUUCGAUUAAAUUAAUGUUUGAUUCGUAAAAAAGCAAAGAAAUUGCUUGAAUUUACGUUCGAGUUGAACUUGGCAAUAAAGACAGAAUAAAAAUGAUUUUUUUUUUUUUUUUUUUUCUUUCAAAUGAGAGCAGUUUUCUCCGCAGACCAGUUGAAGAGGAAAAGCUGAAAUCGAGGAAGUGCAUCCAAACAGACACUUUCAUCUGUCAUUAUCACACCUUCUUUGGUCAUCACAAACAUUUGGACCAAAUUUGGAGGAUUUAUACAUGGAAGAAUUAUUACAUUUCCCGCUGGAUGAUUAUACGUUCCCUUACCCAUUGGUCUCAUUAAACAAUUUUCCGAUUGAACGUGUUGAAUCUAAAAAAAAGAUUUCAUAAGACGGAUAUUAAAAGUUGGGGCAAUUUUCAAGAGUCUCAAGCUUUGUGUCGUGAUCUAAGGCCAAAGAUCAAUUGGUGACCGCAAUGAUCUCAAAUCAUUGUAAAAUAAGCAAACUGUUCCGGUUCGUGUGCCAUAUGCAACCCCAAAACAUGAUAUUAAAUGACAUCAUUUUCAAAAGGAUCGACCGAAUCGCCAAUAUAAUGACCAACCACAACGUGAAUUCCUCUUCGAUCUAUGUAAUCUUUCCCUCUGUCUGAUGAUCUAUAAACAUUAAUUAAAAUUAUUUUUUUAAAU